CCUACGGGUGGCAGCAGUGGGGAAUAUUGGACAAUGGGCGAAAGCCUGAUCCAGCCAUGCCGCGUGUGUGAAGAAGGCCUUCGGGUUGUAAAGCACUUUCAGUGGGGAAGAAAGCCUUGGGGCUAAUACCCUCGAGGAAGGACAUCACCCACAGAAGAAGCACCGGCUAACUCCGUGCCAGCAGCCGCGGUAAUACGGAGGGUGCGAGCGUUAAUCGGAAUUACUGGGCGUAAAGCGCGCGUAGGCGGUCUGAUAAGCCGGUUGUGAAAGCCCCGGGCUCAACCUGGGAACGGCAUCCGGAACUGUCAGGCUAGAGUGCAGGAGAGGAAGGUAGAAUUCCCGGUGUAGCGGUGAAAUGCGUAGAGAUCGGGAGGAAUACCAGUGGCGAAGGCGGCCUUCUGGACUGACACUGACGCUGAGGUGCGAAAGCGUGGGUAGCAAACAGGAUUAGAUACCCCCAGUAGUC
rnacentral:rRNA from 1 species